AUUGAACGCUGGCGGCAUGCCUUACACAUGCAAGUCGAACGGCAGCGGGGACUUCGGUCCGCCGGCGAGUGGCGAACGGGUGAGUAAUGUAUCGGAACGUACCUUUCAGUGGGGGAUAACGUAGCGAAAGUUACGCUAAUACCGCAUAUUCUCUGAGGAGGAAAGCAGGGGACCUUCGGGCCUUGUGCUGAUGGAGCGGCCGAUAUCAGAUUAGCUAGUUGGUGAGGUAAAGGCUCACCAAGGCGACGAUCUGUAGCGGGUCUGAGAGGAUGAUCCGCCACACUGGGACUGAGACACGGCCCAGACUCCUACGGGAGGCAGCAGUGGGGAAUUUUGGACAAUGGGCGCAAGCCUGAUCCAGCCAUGCCGCGUGAGUGAAGAAGGCCUUCGGGUUGUAAAGCUCUUUCGGACGGGAAGAAGUUGGUGGGGCUAAUAUCCCCAUCGGAUGACGGUACCGUAAUAAGAAGCACCGACUAACUACGUGCCAGCAGCCGCGGUAAGAC
rnacentral:rRNA from 1 species